GCAGUUUGAUUUUAUUUGCCAUGAGAUGCCACGUCCCUAUCUUUUGGUUCUGGAUGCUUCCAUUCUUGGACUGGACGGUGUUCCUGAUUGUGUUUGGGCCAAGCAUAAAUUUGAUGUUGGUCUCAUACAGAAUUGUGAACCUUUGGUUGUGAACCCCAAAUCUCACUUCAGACCCCGACGGGCGCAGUACCCCUUGAAGCCUGAGGCAAUUGAGGGCAUCACCCCAGUUUUUAACUCAUUUUUGGAAGCAGGUAUAGUCAUCCCCUGUGAUGGUUCCCCUGUUAACACCCCGAAUUUGCCCGUUAAGAAGUAUCGCCCUCCUCCAUUGGGAAAAAAAAUAAAUAAAUAAAAGAGAAGAAGUCACGUUCCUUGGCCAUGUUGUCAGUACAGAAGGUAGAAGCCUUUCCUCCAAACAUCUCACUGCAAUCCAACAGGCGCCGAGACCGGAGACUGUUAAGCAACUCCUGUCUUUCGUUGGGUUGUGCUCAUACUGCAGGAUUUCUGUUCCAAACUUUUCAGAGAUAACCAGGCCCCUAUAGGCCUACUGGAUCCACCCAAGCCAUUCACUCAGACUGUGGAUGAAGGAGGGAGCUGCGUGACAUCUGUCCUCCUCCAGGAUCAUGGUGGAACUCUCAGACCUGUGGCUUAUUUCUCCUGUAAGCUUGAUCCUGUUGCUGCUGGACUUCCUCGCUGCCCGAGUGCCAUUGCUGCUGCAGAGAGGGCCGAGCAGCUUCCAGAGAUCUUGUGGGCUAUUCUGACAUUGCUGGUCCUCCGUGAAGUCCACC